UACGUAGGGCGCAAGCGUUAUCCGGAAUUAUUGGGCGUAAAGAGCUCGUAGGCGGUUUGUCGCGUCUGCCGUGAAAGUCCGGGGCUCAACUCCGGAUCUGCGGUGGGUACGGGCAGACUAGAGUGAUGUAGGGGAGACUGGAAUUCCUGGUGUAGCGGUGAAAUGCGCAGAUAUCAGGAGGAACACCGAGUGGCGAAGGCAGGUCUCUGGGCCGUAACUGACGCUGAGGAGCGAAAGCAUGGGGAGCGAACAGG
rnacentral:rRNA from 1 species